GUAGUAUUCCCUCCGUCUCAAAAUUCUUGUCUUACAUUUGUUUAGAUACGGAUGUAUCUAACACUAAAAUGUAACUAGAUACAUCCGUAUUUAGACAAAUUUAAGACAAGAAUUUUGGGAUGGAGGGAGUACAAA
rnacentral:pre_miRNA from 1 species